ensembl:lncRNA
AGUACACAAUGUUUUCUCCUGAAGGAUGAAAGAGGAGCCUUUAUGGGGUGAGGCCAGGGGUCGAGGCAGGAGCAGCCCCCGUGUCCUUUUUCAUUACAGCUGGCAGAGGAUUUUACUGCCUUGAAGUACAUUGGAAUGUCCAUGGCUUGGUUUACUGAAGGACAUAAUAUUUUAUUGCACCACGGACGCCAUUUUUCCCUUUCCUUCUUUGGCAGCUAUGCUAUGUGGCAACAAGUGGUUGUGUUGCUAUGGGGGGGCGUGGAAUAGUGGCCCGAGGAAGCUAAAGAAGAGGACGAUAAGUUGCUCAAACAGACCUGCAAGAGCCCAAAAAGCAGAUAGAAGAGAAGCAGAAGACACCACAGCUUCAAUUCCAAAUACAGACACUACCAGAGUGAGGAGAAGAGGCCUGAGUCAGGUAGAGUGUUGACAACAGUACAAUGGGCAGAAAGGACGACAACUCUGAGUACUGGAGAGAUGGCGAUGACUCCAAACCUGAUUUACAAACGGACUCAAAGACUGGAAGUUUCAAUCAGUGCAUCCACCGCACCACCUCAGAAACUCAUAACUUGGCUGAUGACACUGCUGGCAGCGCCAAUGAUGAUGAAGUGGAGGAGGGUCAGAGGGGAAAGAGCUGUGAGGAUGAUGAAGAGGGC